CCUACGGGAGGCAGCAGUGAGGAAUAUUGGUCAAUGGACGCAAGUCUGAACCAGCCAUGCCGCGUGCAGGAAGACGGCUCUAUGAGUUGUAAACUGCUUUUGUACGAGGGUAAACGCAGAUACGCGUAUCUGUCUGAAAGUAUCGUACGAAUAAGGAUCGGCUAAAUCCGUGCCAGCAGCCGCGGUAAUACGGAGGAUUCAAGCGUUAUCCGGAUUUAUUGGGUUUAAAGGGUGCGUAGGCGGUCGGAUAAGUUAGAGGUGAAAUCCCGAGGCUCAACUUCGGAAUUGCCUCUGAUACUGUUCGGCUAGAGAGUAGUUGCGGUAGGCGGAAUGUAUGGUGUAGCUGUGAAAUGCUUAGAGAUCAUACAGAACACCGAUUGCGAAGGCAGCUUACCAAGCUACUUCUGACGUUGAGGCACGAAAGCGUGGGGAGCAAACAGGAUUAGAUACCCGUGUAGUC
rnacentral:rRNA from 1 species